UUACGGCUAUAUCACAUUGAAACAUUGGUUCUCGUACGAUCACCAAAGUUAAGCAACGUCGGGCCUGUUCAGUACCUAGAUGGGUGACCGCUUGGAAAUACCAGGUGCUGUAAG